rnacentral:lncRNA from 1 species
AAGUGCUGGGAUUACAGACGUGAGCCACCGCACCCGGCCGACACAGAGAUGUUUAUGAUGGGAAGUAACACUGUGCCCCCAACCUCCCCACCCCAGUUUUUCUUCCCAGGGUCUCCCCAAGAGCUGCUUCCUUUGACUCCUGCUGUGUGUAGUUCUGCUGACAAUGACCUGGACAGCUCUGCGCCAUGCACAGCGUCUUUUCUCCGACUUACCACAUUUUAGACACUACUGACUCCUCCAUGUGAAAGAUGGGAAUUCAGCUACAUCACAUUACCCUACAAACUUUAUUGUUAAUAUUUCUUCCUGGUCAGCCCCAAACACUGAAUAUAAAUACGGUCCAACAUCAACCUGCAAACGAACACUGACAUGAAAGUGCGGUUGGAAAGGAUCUCGCAAAGGAACAGAAUCUUGUGAUCCUAAUCGUAAUAAACGUAAUCGCCGGGUAUUGAGAGCUUGCAGGUACCAGGGCUCCGGCACUAUGUGUUUCACAGGGGCCACUCGGUAGACCUCUUGGUGACCUUGAGGUCAGGUACCACGUUCCCAUUUUACAGAGGAGGAAACUGAGAUAUCCUACGACAGCGAAAAGGUAGCAGAGCUGGGACUGGUGCCCAGGCUCGCCGAGUGGAAAAGCCCUCGGCCACCGUGGAGAGCUCGCUUCUUGUGGUCUGAAGCGUCGCCCCUGCACCGGCUUCUGCUGCCAAGGAUGGCUUUUCCUCACCGGUGCCCACCUACGCUCACUCGUGUCAUGUGGUUAAGCCCUUUUGGCAACAUAAGACCUUUCCCAAGAAUGUGCCUCGGUGCAGAGGAAGACGGUGGGGGCAGGCCCCCUCCCCAGGAUGCUCCACCCUCCCUGACCUCACACGGGUGCAACCUGGGCCGUGGCCGAGACCUGCUGUGCGGCAGACAAUGGGAAGCCUGUGUGUCGUCCUGGGUGCCGGAAUUAGACAAUAUUUAGCUUUCCCUUGGUGGAAAAGCCUUUCCCCUCCUGCUUUGGGCAGGAACUGGUUCCUGUUGGGCGGGGCCUGGCUGCUGCCCCACCCCCACCCGGCCGGGCACCUUGACUGGCAGCUCUCCGGGCUGCUCCCUGCCUGUGUCCCUGAGCACUGACUCCAGAGGUUUAAUCAUUAACGGGCACGUUUGGCCUUUGGUCGUGGGCUGGAAUUUGGGACCUGUGCCCGGGAACAAUGAUCUCCGACACAUUAUUUUGUGUAAAAUCACUUUUAGCUGCCAUUAGCUAAUAAAGCUGGAAUAAAGUGAGGUCCAUUAACCAGC